GAUGAACGCUGGCGGCGUGCCUAAUACAUGCAAGUCGAGCGAACAGACGAGGAGCUUGCUCCUCUGACGUUAGCGGCGGACGGGUGAGUAACACGUGGAUAACCUACCUAUAAGACUGGGAUAACUUCGGGAAACCGGCGCUAAUACCGGAUAAUAUAUUGAACCGCAUGGUUCAAUAGUGAAAGACGGUUUUGCUGUCACUUAUAGAUGGAUCCGCGCCGCAUUAGCUAGUUGGUAAGGUAACGGCUUACCAAGGCGACGAUGCGUAGCCGACCUGAGAGGGUGAUCGGCCACACUGGAACUGAGACACGGUCCAGACUCCUACGGGAGGCAGCAGUAGGGAAUCUUCCGCAAUGGGCGAAAGCCUGACGGAGCAACGCCGCGUGAGUGAUGAAGGUCUUCGGAUCGUAAAACUCUGUUAUUAGGGAAGAACAAAUGUGUAAGUAACUAUGCACGUCUUGACGGUACCUAAUCAGAAAGCCACGGCUAACUACGUG
rnacentral:rRNA from 1 species